CGUAGGGUGCGAGCGUUGUCCGGAAUUACUAGGCGUAAAGGGCAGGCAGGCGGAUCCAUAAGUUUAUCGUUUAAGGCGUCGGCUUAACCGGCGUAGGGCGGUAGAUACUGUGGAUCUGGAAUGCGGUUGGGGAAGACAGAAUUCCUGGUGUAGCGGUGGAAUGCGCAGAGAUCAGGAGGAAUACCGAAGGCGAAGGCAGUCUUCCAAGCCGUUAUUGACGCUCAACUGCGAAGGUGUGGGUAUCAAACAGGAUUAGAUACCCCUGUAGUCCCU
rnacentral:rRNA from 1 species